rnacentral:rRNA from 1 species
AUGCUAGGAUUGAUGUCCUAUUGCAGGAGAAACAAUGGCAACAGUCGCAUCGUUUUGUCCAGCGAUAAUAUCAACCAUGUCUAUUAUUUUGUUGACAAUCACCACAGAGAAAUCUUUCUCUGUGCAGGCACUCAAUUCAUGAGCCAAACGUUGAUGUGGGCUACCAAGGGGGCUAGGAAGCAGCAUCAGCUUGAAGCUAACUUAAGUUUAAAUCUAAUGAGCAUUUGGUCUUUAUUCUGUCUCGAUACAAACACAUCAACGUGUGGACUACCAUCCAUUGAUGCGCAGAGACCAGAUAUUCAUUUCUCACAGGUGUUGUUGCUGCAGCCCAUUCAUGGCGAGGAUACAUGGCUGAUGGCCCAUCGAUCCUUAGGGGAUGGAAGGAUCCCCACAUGA